GACGAACGCUGGCGGCGUGCUUAACACAUGCAAGUCGAACGGAAAGGCCCUGCUUUUGUUGGUUGCUCGAGUGGCGAACGGGUGAGUAACACGUGAGUAACCUGCCCUUGACUUUGGGAUAACUUCAGGAAACUGGGGCUAAUACCGGAUAGGAGCUCCUGCUGCAUGGUGGUGGUUGGAAAGUUUCGGCGGUUGGGGAUGGACUCGCGGCUUAUCCGCUUGUUGGUGGGGUAGUGGCUUACCAAGGCUUUGACGGGUAGCCGGCCUGAGAGGGUGACCGGCCACAUUGGGACUGAGAUACGGAGCAGACGCGUACGGGAGGCAGCAGUGGGGAAUAUUGCACAAUGGGCGGAAGCCUGAGGCAGCAACGCCGCGUGCGGGAUGACGGCCUUCGGGUGGUAAACCGCUUUCGCCUGUGACGAAGAGUGAGUGACGGUAAUGGGUAAAGAAGCACCGGCUAACUACGUG
rnacentral:rRNA from 1 species